UUUUUUUUAAGAGUUCGAAUUGCUUAAAGUUAGAAGAUUGAAGCUUAGCGGAACCCCUUGUUGAGUUCCUCAUGCUUGUUCCAAUUUUCUUGUGUUGACCUUUCCUUCCUUUUUUUCCCUUUGCAUACCGGGAAAUUUAUGGAUAACGCCUUUGUGGAAAAAGUUUUAAAGGAACAGAAGAGUUAAUUACCAUGAGAAAUGAAGAAUACUGAAGUUGAAUGAUUACUGCAUAGUCAUUUUUUGUUGUUUAUUUUUUUAUUAUUAAUUUGAUUAGUCUCACCUUCUCUCUCUACAGUCAAACACAACCAACAGUGCAAAGGUAGUGUUUUUGCACCGAAGGCCACAGACAAGGAACUUCAGGGGCUCCGGCAACUUUUGCAGUUCCUGUGACAGAAGCCUGCAGGACCCAUACCUCUUCUGCUCCCUCUCCUGCAAGAUUGAUUAUCUCAUUAGAACGAAAGGUGGGAUUUCGGAGUACCUCUCUGACUUCAAGUCCUUGUCCUUACCCGCAGCUGGUUUAGACGACGGUUCGAUGACACCUGAAUCGGUUCUUGAACCGGCCGGUUCGAGCCGUACCUCGUCUGGAUCGGGCGGAUAUGGUGGGGUGGACUGCAAGACGCUUGGUAGCACUGCCACAACCGAGAUAGUGAGGAAGAAGAGGAGUAACCUGUCUGUAUAUCGGGCGGCAUGUCGACCUGUAUCUUCACCCGUAUCCGAAAUUUCGGCCAGUUUGAUGAACCGGAGAAAAGGGACUCCACAAAGAUCUCCGCUUUAUUGAAUUUCGCCGCCGAUAUGGAAUGAGAAAGAUUUAGGGAGGGUUUGGGAUGAUGAAUUUGGUAGCUUUUAUUUGUUUCCUUUAGACUAAUUUCAGGAUAUAAGGAAAACUCUCCCAGUUUUGUUGAAGUACUCUCUCUUCUCUAGAUGGUGGAUGGAUUGGUUCUUUUUUUGGGCCCUUUAUAGAUUCACAAUACCGACAAAAGUUUCCCGUUAUAUUUUCUACUCCCUUGUAUAUGGGGUUUAUAUAAUUUGUUUAAAGAAUUCUAGUAUUGCAUAACUCUGAUUUUGGGUCUUUCUUGA